AAUAUAGCAUCAUUUCAGCGUUUGCCAUUGAGACAAAUUCCUAGUAUUCCUUUAUUUUUCAGGAAAUAGUCCUACUUGCAUUUAAUUGAAAUGAAUCACGCCUGUUCACCCAAAAGCAGAAUGAAUGACUUGGCUCUUUAGGGCAUCUACACAGCAAACAUUCCAUUUUACUCUAUCGAAAUCAUAAACCACCACCAGACAUACACAACAUCCAUGACUAGCCAGGAUGCGAACCCGGUACCUUCGGCAUCACAGCCGACUCUUCAGUCCACUGUAGUACCGAGUUGUCUCAUCAAAUUCCAGACCAUCAUAUUGUCUACAGGAAAAGUCCUUCAUAACUCCUCCAAGAAAUCCAAAAAUUGAAGCAUUCAACACUCUGAGAAUAAAAGAUAUGAGACGUGUCAAACAGAAAUCUUUUAACGACCACAGAUUCUCAACGAAAUCAAUAAAAAACAAACCCAAUAAUUUGAAGAAGAUAUGCCGGAAGAUAACAUAUGGAGAACUCGAGUCGGAGAGCGCCUUCAUUUCUGGACCUUCAUACGUUGUGAAUAAUUUCAAAUUUAGAACUGCACUGAGGAAAUUAUUAGCCAGUCUUAGGGAGGCAGGAGGAAAAUGUACUGAUCUUUCAGUUAGUUAUAACGAUACUAUUGAACAACUUCAAAAUGAAAAUGAGCAACUGCAAAAUGGUUAGCACAAUCUAAUUUGGAAUAAACAUCAAAAAUGGGAAUAAACAACUUCAAAAUGGCUGACACAAUCAAAUUGGAAAUAAACAACUUCAAAAUGAGAAUAGACAACUUCAGAAUGGUUAACACAAUCAAAUUGGGAAUAAACACAUUCGAAUUGGGACUAAACCAUUCCAAAUUGAGAAAUGGAAUUUAUAUUUAAAUUUGAUACUUCAAUGCAAUUGCCAAAUUAUAUAGGUACCAGAGAGAUAAUUUAUAAGUGCUAUAAUAUAUAUGCCAGGUUACAGUUUAUUAGGAUGUAUACUAUUUUUGCUAUACAUAAAUGACUUGACAGGAAUUACAAUAGAAGAAUUGAUGAUACUAUUUGUUGAUGUAUUGAUCUCGGAUGCAAAUUUUCAAAAUCUAUUAAUCAAGACAACAAACAUUUAUAUGAGAAUAGAAGAAUGGCUGAAAGCUCGCAAGCUCAAACUAAACACUGCCAAAACAACUAUCAUGUGCUUCAGAACAAAACAGUCUACGCAAAUUAUACCUGAAGAAUUAAAAAUUGUUGAAACAACUUUCAAACUCCAGGAAACUACGAAAUUUCUUGGAUGAACACCUUACUUGCGGAGAACACAUAGAAAAAACCAACAGCAGCUUGAACUGAGUGUGCUACACAAUCCAAAUACUAAGG